rnacentral:rRNA from 1 species
AUGCUUAACACAUGCAAGUCGAACGCAUGGCUUCGGCCAUGAGUGGCGCACGGGUGAGUAGCGCGUGGGAACCUGCCCUGGAGUGGGGGAUAACCGAGGGAAACUUCGGCUAAUACCGCAUGCGCCCGGUGGCAACAUCGGGGAAAGAUUUAUCGCUCUAGGAGGGGCCCGCGUCGGAUUAGCUUGUUGGUGGGGUAACGGCCUACCAAGGCGAUGAUCCGUAGCUGGUCUGAGAGGAUGAUCAGCCACACUGGGACUGAGACACGGCCCAG